GUACACGCUGUGACUAGCAUAUCAAUAAGCGGAGGAAAAGAAACUAACAAGGAUUCCCCUAGUAACGGCGAGUGAAGCGGGAAGAGCUCAAAUUUGAAAUCUUAAAGGGUUCCCUUUACGAAUUGUAGUUUAAAGAAGUGUUUUCUGUUGAGGUUUUGGUAAAAGUUCUUUGGAAUAGGACAUCAUAGAGGGUGAGAAUCCCGUAUUUGACCUUUACUUUCAACUUUGUGAUACACUUUCAAAGAGUCGGAUUGUUUGGGAAUGCAGUCCAAAAUGGGUGGUAAACUUCAUCUAAAGCUAAAUAUUGGCGAGAGACCGAUAGCGAACAAGUACCGUGAGGGAAAGAUGAAAAGAACUUUGAAAAGAGAGUUAAACAGUACGUGAAAUUGUCAAAAGGGAAGCGUUUGACACCAGUGUUGUUUUUCUGAAAAUCAAUUAAAGAACUGUUUAUGCUAAGCUGUUUAGACUUUAUCAGCUAUCUGUUUAGUUUUGAGCUUUUCUUUAAUGCACUUUUCAGUUAACAAGUCAACAUCAAUUUCUUUUGCUGUAAAAAAGCUUGAGGAAGGUGGCUUGAGAUUCGUCUUAAGUGUUUAUAGCCUCUUGCCUAUGCAGUCGGAGAGAUUGAGGUCUGCAGCGUAGAUCCUUCGGGACUAAAUGCAUUUGUGCUAAGUUAUAGCAUUUUAUAGACAACUUGUUGACUAUGAUUUGUCUCGUAGCUUACUCGCUUAUGUUAUUUUACCUACGCUUAGGAUGUUGAUAUGCAUGACUGAUAU
rnacentral:rRNA from 1 species